rnacentral:sRNA from 1 species
UCUCAGGGACGUGGCGGUGAAGGCACAGUCUCGGCUAUGGUCCCAGGAAACAGACAGUGGGGCCUCCACCCUUCCUUCCCCGUUUGGAUUAAGGGGCUCCUGGCUGGAACACCUCACAGGACUGGCCCCAUCUGGGGCCCCCCUCUGGGACCCACCUCACACGCGUGGUGCGUUUGUUUGUGGCUGCUCCCAUUCCUAUAACCUCCGAGACCUUCACUCCUAGGAAUGUCCCAAGGCCAAUUCCCUUGGCAGCAAUGAGAAGAAAUGCCCUUUUCCAAAUAGCGACUUCUGCAAAACCCGCUGUUGUUUGUGGGUGAGCACUGCAAGUCCCACCCAUGCCACAGCCAGCCUCCCUCCUGGCUCCUCUGCCAGCGGUGGCCUUCCCCAGCCCUCACCCAGGCCCCAACUCUCCUCUCACAGGUUCCAGCUUCCUGGGGCCUGGAACUUUCCCUGAGUCCUUCCCACCCACCACGCCCAGCACCCCAACCCUUGCUGAGUUCACCCCGGGGCCACCCCCCAUCUCCUACCAGUCUGACAUUCCCAGCAGCCUCCUGACUUCAGAGAAGUCUACCGCCUGCCUCCCAGGCCAGAUGGCACCAGCAGGUCACCUGGACCCCACUCACAAUCCUGGGACACCAGGACUACACACCUCCAACGUUGGGGCCCCUCCAGGUCCCCAGCUGCACCAUUCAAACCCUCCCCCAGCGUCCCGGCAGUCCUUGGG